AUCAUCGAACCUAGCAGGACGUUUUAUUGUAUCACCCCUACGAAGCGAUCUGGAUCCUGAUGGAAUAAAUGAAAUCCUGGACUGCUGAAUUGAUUCUGGAUUAUCAAUCGGAGUUGAUUCGGAUGUUGAAGGUGCACAAGUUGACGGCGAUGAAGCUCCCUGCUGCGGGACUAAUUCUGGAUCAUCCCUUGGAGGGUUUAUAAGAUAAGUAGCUGUUGUUUCAUUCCUUACUUGAGUUUGUGAUGAGUCAUUAAGCACUUCAUCGGAGUUGAAUCCAGGGGCUCUUUUAACCUCUUGUAUGUUCCGUGAAUAUUGCACUCCCCCUUGGCUCAUAAUUACUACCUUAGCACCCGCUCUUGCCACGACUUUAUAGCGUUCCGGAGAGAAGACAGGAUCGGUUUUAUUCUUCUUUGGGUGUGCGAGCAAAACCACGUCACCUACAGCAAUAUCUGAUACUUUUGCUCCUCGUGUUUGAUCGGCAUAUAUUUUGCUCUUUAGUUUAGUCUCAUUAUCCCGCUCACGAAUGUCAGUUAAAUCAAGUUCAUUGUCGAUUGUAUCCUUCCAAAGGCUUGGAAAUAUUCCUCGAUACUUCCAGCCGACCAUUAACUCGAAAGGAGUUACUCCUAACCGUGAGUGUGGCACCAGGGUAUUGUGUCUGUGUACAUAUAGUUGUAGAGCAGUUCGCCAAUUCUUGCCUUCUAUCGCUGACGCCGACAGGGCUUUAAUUAUUCCCUGAUUCUGCCUUUCAACAGCCCCGUUGGACUGGGGACUGAGAGGUAUGGACUUACGAACACUAACUCCUUUAUCUUUCCAGAAAUCAUUAAAUGCCGAACUUUGGAAUGGUGGCCCGUUGUCACUUUGCAAUAUUACUGGACAGCCCCACGUUUUAAAAACUUCGCAAAGAGCAGCAUUAGUGCUAUCUGCAGUUAUAGAACGCAUCUCGACGACCGACAAAUAUCUAGAAUACGUGUCGACGACCACCAAAAAUUCUCCAGAACCACAGCGAGGAACAGAUAGGAAGUCUAUCUGCAGUAUCUGCCAUGGUCCGUCAGGCAACUCUCUUGAUACUAAAGGUAGAGGUGGAUUACGUUUUGAGAGUAAUGUGCACGUUUCGCAUUCCUGAACAAAUUUAGAUACCUCGCUGGACAUUUUGGGCCACCAGAAGAAUUGACGCAUGAUGCGUUUCAUAGCCGUUUCCCCUACAUGGCCACCGUGGGCGGAACUGAGGGCUUUUUCCCGAAGCAGUUUUGGUAAAACAACUCGUUCAUUUUUGAAUAAUAAAGGUCCAGUGCUUAUAAGGGCCUCGCGUACCUGUUGCAAUUCCUCAUCUUCUUCUGACUUUCCCUCGAUUUCUGACCAUGUCAGCUCCAUACAACCGGCGUCCAAUGCAUACAGGAAAUGCUUAUCCUCGUCUAAAUCCAAUUCUUCGUUCUUCUGUGAUUCUGGAACCAAUCGCGAUAAAACGUCCGCUACAUUCUCAUCGCCGGGGACACGUUUUAUUGAGAAGUCGUAAGGCUGGAGCCUCAACGCCCAAGCCUCAGCACGAGAUACGGCUCUCUUUCCUAGCUGAUGAUGCGGAUUGAAUAUAUAUUGGUUUGCCUCUGAGUCGGUGUGAAUAACAAAUGAUCUAGCUAGUAAGUAAUAGUUGAAUCUUUCAACAGCCCAGACAACAGCUAAUGCCUCCUUUUGCGUUUGUGGAUAGCGCGUUUCAGAGCCACUCAAGCUUUUUGAAGCACAUGCUAUGAUACGUGGGCAACCUGCCUCAUUGAAUUGAGUAAGGACAGCACCCAGGCCUACCGGUGACGCAUCAACGAACAGCUCCAUCCUGUCAGUUGGACUAUAAUAACCUAAGCGUGGUAUUUCACUAAGAGCACUUUCCUUCAAGUACGAAAAUUCUUGUUCUUCAUCCUCGGUCCAGUAGAAAUGGUCAGAGGCUGCAAGUGUACGUAGGCGUUCCGUUUUUGUAGCUCGGUGUAUGAUGAACUUAUCAGCGAAUGUAAUAAGUCCGAGAAAACUCUUUACUUCAGAGCAGCUUUUAGGUCUUCUGAAGUCUUUGAUGGCAGCGAUUUUUUCUUCCUCUACUUGCCAACCUCGGGGCGUCAGUGUAAAUCCAAGAAAUUUAACUUUCUGACUGGCAAAUACACAUUUGCUAUCAUUUAUUUUCACGUUGUGGUUGGCUAGUCUGGAACGUACCUUAGCUAAGUUAUCAUCGUGUUCGGAUCUUGUCUUACCAUACACGAGGAUAUCGUCUAAGUAAUUUCUACAUCCUUCGCAUCCACCGAGUACCUUUUGUUGGAGAGUUUCCUGAAAAAUAUCGGGCGCGUUGCAAAGCCCAAACGGAAGUCGAACGCAGCGGUACAUACCAAACUCCGUGAAGAAGUUGGUCAAAUGCCUGGACUCUUCAUGUAGCUCCACGUGGAAAAAAGCGUUGGAAAGAUCGAUAGUAGAGAACCAGGUGGCCCCUUCCAGUUCCACCAGGAUCUUUUCCAACGUAGGCAUUGAGAAAGGAGUGCGGUGAAUGUACUGGUUCGGUCCUCUCAAAUCUAUCACGAGACGUAUGUCGUUUUUUCCUUUGGGCACAAUUAACAUAGAUGAACAGAACGAAGCGUCCAUUCCAUCUACUACUGGUUCGAUAAUGUUUGAUGCCAAUAAUCCCUUGAGUCGUUUUUCCACGAUCGGUUUUACAGCCAAUGGAACGUUAACAAAUAUAUUUCGGCAUGGUGGUCUCGAAGUAUCGUAAAAUAUCUUCACCGGCGGGACGUUGAAUUUGGGAAAGACAUCCGAUGAAACCAACGCUAUUUCUCCUGCAUGCAGUGACUCAGAGAGGUUCCUUAUGUUCUUUCUAUUAACAGGAACUUCCAAACCUAGCAUCAGCACGCUGUACCUAGAAGCUGUAGCGCGACUCAACAAGGCACGAAGCUCCUUAACUACGUAGAACUUUUCCAAUAACAUUGGCCUGUCGUCAGAUAUGUACAGAUACGCGUGAAAUGUGGCAAUCACCUGAAUUUCUCCGGAGGAGGCAUAUGCUUUGAGCGAACGAUCCGACUUGUACUUAAUGUCGAACAUUUCCCUAAUGUACUUUUCAUUCGCUGUUAACUUUUGGAACAUUUCAUUUGUGAAGGUGUUCACUUCAGCUCCGGAAUCGAUCAAAAAAGAGCAUUUUAGUCCAGCUACUAUGGCAGUUAUGAUACCUUCAUUGUCAUAAAAUUCUGAAGGUUUAUUGUAUUGCAUCUAGGGCUUUAAAAUUUGCGGAACCAAUUCCUCAACUAGAAUAUUCAAAUCAUCUCGGAAUUUUUCUACGUGGUUUACGGAACAAGACGAUGAAGCCUUCAUCAAUGUUAUCCUUCCACCGGGUGAACUCGUUGGAUGUUCCAACUAGCAAGUGAAAGUAAAGCAUAGCUUUAUUAACCUUUCGAAACUUUUUCUCUUCGAGGAUAUCGACAACAGACGCAUCAUCUGAAUCGGUUUCAGAUUUGUCUUUUCGUGAUAACUGAGGACCCAUACCACCAAUAUGUGUUGUUACCAAGGAAAUGGUUUUUCUUUUCUGUAUCGUUCUUUCAAUUCAAUUUCAUAUCGAAGGACAAGAGCAAAUAUUUAAAACAAAAGUGCAUGAGUUCAUAUUGAUUUUAAAGUUAUUAUAAUAGGCGAGAGAAAAUAAGCUCAUUCAUCAUUAACCUGACUCACCUUUUCUUCUUCCUUCGGUUCUUCAUCGUAUUCUAGAGCAGCAAUCUUUUUGGGCGGUUCAUCGAUGGACUCCUUGAUUGGGCGCUUGUAUCGACCUUGAGAAGGACACAUUCUUUUGAUAUGACCAACAACUCCACAGUUCAGGCAAUCUUUAUCUAUGACAAGACAGUCAUCCGCUGAGUGAUAUAUACCACCACAACGCCAGCAUUUGCUCCCACGCGUGAAGUUUUGAUGGGAGCUCCCUCCUCUGGACAUCGGUCUGCCUCUGUAUGCUCCACGCCAAUUGCCUCUGCGACCUUGAAGAUUACGCCGAUAGCCAAACCCACGAUUUUCGUUUUGUCUAUUCCAAUCUCGUCCAGUAUCCGAUCUGAGUGAAGCAAUCAACGUCUGAUCAUUGCUUCUAUGUCGCUGCAUUACAAACUCUUCAUUGAGUCGGAUGGCUUCGAUCUCUCGCACUUUGUCUACAAGAUCUGCAAAGCUGCCUUUGCGACUGAGCAUUUUGAGAGCUGUAGUACGCACUUCGCGGUUUUUGGCGUGUUCAGCCACGGUGGCCACAAUUUCCUCAAAUUCCUUGUUAUCAUCAAAUUCGCAAAGACGAGCAACAGAUCCAACACGUGAAAUGAAUGCUAAAUCUGAUUCGUUAGAUUUUUGGAACAUAAGUGCAAGCCUGCGCCUCAUCAACAUCACAUCGCUUCCCGAGCCAAAAUACGAUUUGAGGCGAUGCAUUGCGUUAGAAAAAGGUGCUGAAUCGCAAUCCGGUGCGUCUGCUUGUGAUUUUGAGUUUCUGAAAAUUUCAAGUAAACGUGAUCCUGCCUUAACCUUGAACACAGUGAAUUUCGUGUGUUCAUCAUCAAUCCCUGCCAGUUUCAGAGAGUCGACCAACAGAUCCUUCCACGAUUCAAAUGAUUGACGAUGAAUUUCUCCAUCUUCGGAAGCACCGCACUCUGGGACGUUUACUGACGCAACGGAAAGCUGGUUCAUCGACGACAAGAAUCUAGAUUCCUCCAAGCUGGGGUUGGUUACCUUACUACGUGUGCUGCAUAAUCUAUUGUUCGCGUUAAACUCCAUGCUCGAAAAGUUUUGCACACUACCGUUUUCUGAUGAACUUGGCCCAGCUUGAAGUUCUUCGUUGGCUUUGAGACUGCGUUGUAGCUCCAUUUCCAAAUGAGCAUUUUUGGACCUCUCUCUUUCAAGCUCUACCAUCAAAUCAGAAACUUUCAUUUUAGUUUUAUUAACAUUAGACUCCUUUCUUCCCGUGGAAUCUUUGUUAAUAACCUUCUUCUUCUUUG